rfam:Picea glauca, whole genome shotgun sequence.
ACCAAGGAGCCACAGAGACAAAGAGCGACAAAGAAGCAAACUAGAUCAACAAGUGCCCCUAGUGCAGAUCUUGGUGGUAGUAGCAAAUAUUCAAAUGAGAACUUUGAAGAGUGAAGUGGGGAAAUGUUCCAUGUGAACAUAACUUGGACAUGGGUUAGUCGAUCCUAAGAGAUGGGAAAUCCUUGUAUCAAGGGUGCACUCUGCAUGAACAUCGAAAGAGAUUUGGGUUAAUAUUCCUGAACCAGGACAUGGUGGUGGACGACAAUGUUAGGAAAUCUGGAGAUGUCAUCGGGGGCCUGAGAAGAGUUAUCUUUGAUUUUUAACGACUUUCCCACCCUGAAAUCGGUUCAAUCGAAGAUAGGGUCCAACAUCUGGAAGAGCACCACACAUCUUGCAGUGUUUGGUGCCCCCUCGGUGGCCAUUGAAAAUAUGGAGAACCGAGUACCAUCCAUGCCCGAUCAUACUCAUAUCUACCUCCUUAGAUUUUUCAAUGCCCACUA